rnacentral:rRNA from 1 species
GGAUGGCUAAUACCGGAUAUGACCACUUUGGGCAUCCAACGGUGGUGGAAAGGAUUCUGGUCUGGGAUGGGCCCGCGGCCUAUCAGCUAGUUGGUGGGGUAAUGGCCUACCAAGGCGACGACGGGUAGCCGGCCUGAGAGGGCGACCGGCCACACUGGGACUGAGACACGGCCCAGACUCCUACGGGAGGCAGCAGUGGGGAAUAUUGCGCAAUGGGGCGAAAGCCUGACGCAGCGACGCCGCGUGAGGGACGAAGGUCUUCGGAUUGUAAACCUCUUUCAGCAGGGACGAAGCGAAAGUGACUGUACCUGCAGAAGAAGCACCGGCUAACUACGUGCCAGCAGCCGCGGUAAUACGUAGGGUGCAAGCGUUGUCCGGAUUUAUUGGGCGUAAAGAGCUCGUAGGCGGUUUGUCGCGUCGGAUGUGAAAACCCAAUGGCUUAACCUUGGGCCUGCAUUCGAUACAGGCA